UUACUGUCACAGAAAAGUUAAAUUUAAGAGUCGAAGAAAUGUAGUUUACUUACCAGAGAAGGCAUUACUAGGCUGGUUGCACUUAAGUGUUAGUACUAUAUUAUUAUGAUAAUUUAAAAAGAAGAAUAAAGUUAAAAAGAAAUAAGUUACAAAUCUUGAUAUACACGGUACUCAACUCAUAGGCAAAAUGUAAAAGAAGAAAUGACAUAAAUGGAAAAUAUACUAUCUAAUCUUUUUCACAUACUUCUUAAGUAACAAAAUGUACCCUUUUUCUGAGUGAAUACGGAACAACUCCUGAAGUUUUAGUUUAUGGACAAAGCGGGAGAGAAUAGGAGGGACUUUCGCAACCAAAUAGAAAACCAAGCUCAAAGCACAUGCCAAAUUAAUACUAAAACUCCGUUCUACAAAUCUUUUAUUUGUCCCGGCCAGUUGUCAAAAUCAGAAGGCAAACAUGGACUCAAAUUAAGCACAAGUGUGGAAAGCUGGACACCACACCUGACAUAUCCACCUGCAGUACUCGCUUUGAACGCAGUCCGCAGUGGCGAAUUGCAGUUUAGAAAAGAGUCGAACAAUUUGCAGAACGCUGUCAAUUUCAAAGUCAAUUUAAUGCAAAAUGCGAAAUGUUUGCCAUCUUUUUUGAUUAGCAAUAAACUAAUCUUUUGGACGUUGCUGCUGCCGCUGCAGUUGUCGUUCGCCAGACAAUCGGAGUGCGGGGGGAGCGGAUUCGGAUUCGGACUCGGACUCGGUGGAUUCUCUAUCACGAGUCUGUGCAUUUUUCAACAUGGAAUCUCAUCAAUGGCAGGCUACAACAAUGGCAACAACAAUGGCAACAACGACGACUGCCCAGUGUGUGGCCAGUGGUCAGUGUUCAGAGGUAUGUGGCCAGGACGAAUCCUUUCCACGGCAUCGCUUUCAGAUUUCAGAGGAAAAAUAUGUUUAUUUAGAAUAUCAAAAACCGAAAGUAAUCGAUUUAAUAAACUGUCACCAACAUGUGACCCAC